GUGCUCGCUUCGGCAGCACAUAUACUAAAAUUGGUUCAAUACAGAGAUUAGCAUGGCCCCUGAGCAAGGAUGACAUGCAAACUUGUGAAGUGUUCCAUAGAAAA